UGUCAGAUGGCCAGGCUGAGAAGCUGCUUACCUGCAACAGGGCAAACCGUGCAGCUGCAGUUCACUGUAACCACCAGCAGGCAGAUGCAAAGAACUUUGAGCAGUCCAUAGCUGGACUGCAUGCCAAGAUUGACAUGUUGACACAGGAGCUCGCCCAGGCCAAGACUGAGCUGACAGUAUGGGAUGCCAAGUGCUGCUUCAACAGAAAGUGGCAUGUUGAGGAAAGGAAAAAGCGGAAAGCCACAGGCCAGCUUGAGGACCAGCCACUGAAGCUGAACAUUCAGGCCAAGAGAGGAGGCCAGGCAGGUCGCCGUGAGAACCUUCAAAAUUAACAGACCCUGAGCACUUUCUCCC